CCCGGGAACGUCGAGACUGGAGCGCCCGAGCCGAGCCACCUUCGCCGACCCGGAGCGCUGCGGCUCGACUCACCGCGGAGGCGCUCGGACGCGAGAAGCGAUUUCUGCUGCCUGGGGCCGUGGCGGUGGGGGCUGCGGAGCCCAGGAGCUUCCCACCCAGAGGAAAGGCAGCCUCACCCUCACUCUUCUCAGCGCGGACACGCCGACCUCACCGCCGUGGGUGAGGGUCCUCAGGCUACACCCCACGGCUUGGAAUUCCACAACAUUGGACGAGGCACUCAGGACGGCCUGGCUCCCACAGACCCCUGCAGGUGAGGACAGAUGCAAAGUGUGGGCGGGACUGGUUCUUGGGACGCAGACCCCGGUGGUGGUGGUGGUGGUGGUGGCAGCGGCGGUGGCGUGGUGAUUCUCCCUCCGCAGACCCCGGUGGUGGUGGUGGUGGCAGCGGCGGUGGCGUGGUGAUUCUCCCUCCGGUGCUCUGUCCCUCCCUUCCCUCUCCUAACCCCUCUUUCCUCUCGAGCAGCCUCUGCCCCCCUCCCCAGGGCUGAACCUCACUUACCUUCCACCUGGCCUCUCCUACCAGCUUUGCAUCCUGUCCUGACCUGUCCUUGCCCAAGGCCAAGACCCCCCGCUGGGGCUUGGGGAGCACUGGGCCUUGGGAGCUGGGGCUGUGCCCAUGCCACUGGGCUGUGCUAGGCCUGCCUCCUUACUGGCUGCCCUCCCACGGCUCAGCAGGGGGCGGGCAGGGGAAAGAAAGGGAAGGACGAAUUGAACUGGGUCCAUUUGGUGUCCAGGAGCGACUUGGACAGGGGCUGGGAGAGAGGCAGGUGGCUGGGGCCUUGGCAGCCCAUGCUCCUGGGGCUGUGUCCCUAGAAAGGGGGGGCUUGGCUCAGACCCUCCCUGACAUUGCCCUGUGUGGGGCUUGGUGGGCAGGAGAGCAGUGGGCACAGCCUCUGGCUCCCUCCAGGGAAAGAAACUUCUAGUGCCAGAGAGAUUAAUGCUGAGACUCCCCAUCGGGGCCACCCUACAGGAGGGACCACCUUGCAGGAGGGCCUCCUGGCAUUUCAGGGAGAAGAAGGGGUAACUAGGAUACCUGUUAAAGAGUGUCGGAGAGCGACAGGUGGGUCCUGGCUGUGCCCUGGGCCAGCCUCCUAGGGACCUGGUUCCCUGGGCCUCUGCUUGCCUUGGCUACUGACUGUCUUUCCGACCCCUCCACUGGCUUCUUGAUACUCGGGACAACUCCAGGCACAGUCCUGCCUCUGAGCCUCCGCUCGUGGUGUUCCCUCUGCCCUUCUCCCUCACCUGGUGACUGUUACUUCUUCUGCUCCUCUGCCUUCACCUUGGCCUGGGUGCAGCGGCCGGUCCCGCCAGGGAGCAGAGCCCUCCUUCCGGCCGCCUGUGCCCUCUCGCGUCCUGUGGCUGCAGCCUCAGCAGGGAUGUGUUUCUAUGUUGGCUGCUGCUCUGGCCCCGCUUCUCCCAGGCUGGCCCCACUGGGAUCCCCUGCCACGACCAGCCUGUACCAGCACCCUGGGGGAGCCCCAUAAACCUUUGUGAGAUGAGGCCAUGAGUGCAGUGUGGACUAUGGAAAACUCGUUCCAGGUGAAUGGCAGGAUAUUUCAAUCUGCCCCCUUGUACGCUGGCAGGCAGCCGUGAGCAGGGAGGGCGUGUUGGCGGCCAGGCCAAGGGAGGACUUGGAGGACCUGGGGUGGUGGGCAGACCUUGGGUGUGGCAUCUGAUGGAUCCACCCAUCCCCUGGCUGUUGGCCAGUCUGUGUCCCUUCCCAGGAGAAGCAGCUACCUGGGCCCUCUCUGGGAGGUGCCCACCCUUUUCUUGUUUCAAGAAUGAUUUCUUUGGGAGUCCCCAUCGUAGCUCAGUGGGUUAAGAACCUGACUAAUAUCUGUGAGGACGUGGGUUUGAUCCCUGGUCUCGCUCAGUGGGUUAAGGAUCUGGUGUUGCUGUGAGCUGUGGUGUAGGUGGCAGACAUGGCUUGGAUCCCGUGUUGCUGUGGCUGUGGUGUAGGCAGGCAGCUGUAGCUCUGACUCGACCCCUAGCCUGGGAACUUCCAUGUGUCGGAGGUGUGGCCCUGAAAAGCAAACCAAAAAAAAAAAAAAAAAAAAAAAAGAAAGAAAAAAAGGAAUGAUUUCUUUUUUCCGCAUCUCUCCUCUGACCUGCUCCCUCUUGACCCUGGCUUGGCUCUGUUGAGCGGAUGGACCCUCAGCAGGUCUGGUCCGGUCUUCGGGGCAGCCUUCACACAGCGGGUGUCCACCGUCGUCACGUGGCCCACCCCAGCUGGGCACCCUCCCUGGAGUGGAUGAUGGGGCUUUGGGGUGGUUGGGCAGCCUGGGAGCCAGGCCAGGAGAGCGUGUUGGGGCCCCGCGGCCUGGACGGAGCAGGAGUGGUGGCAGCAUUCCAGGGCUGGAGGAGGCCUGGGGCGCCCAGCCAAGGAGAGGAGGCCCAGAGGUGACACCCUGGCUCCUUGCCAUGUGACCUGGGCAUGUCCUGCCCCUCCCUCGGGCCUCAUCUUCCCUGCCAGGGUUUAGGGUGGCUGCUCUCCAAUGCCUUCCCAGGGCUAUUCCUCCACCAUUCCAGAAGGUUCUAGGGAGUCCUAUAGGCCCUGCUGUGCACGCUGCUCUGGGGCUGGUGAGACCCCCCUCUCGAGGCCAGAACGUGCCUCUGGCCUCGUGUCCUCAUUACCUGCUCCCCACCCAUCUUUCACCUGCCACGUUCUGGCCACGGCUCUGGGGUCUUACCUUUGGUCUUUCCCUGCCUCUCAAACCCCGCCUGGGCUCUGACUUGUUCCUGCCCUGAGCGCAGACACAAAGGGGCAUCCUCCUUGCUCCCUGGUGCUCAGCCAGACCCGGUAUGGGAGGCUGCCCACGGGUGCCCGGGGCCUGUCUGGAGCUGGAGGGGCGUGCGGAUACUGGGCCGGUCCCUCGGGGGGCAGGUGCUGUUCUGGGCCCUGGAGCUGGCUGGGGUCAGUGCGUCCUGUCCAUUGCCUUUCCCUCCCUGGGAAAAGGUGACGUGUGACCAGCCUGCAGACGGCGCCCCCAAUCACUUUGCUUCUCUGAGCGUCAGCUUUCUCUGCCGAGGGGACCCUGAUGACGCGAGUGUGUUGCAUUCACCGUAUUAUUUAUGUCCAGCAAUGCCUGGUGUACUUGUGUGUUCGUGUGUGUCUGUGUGCGUGUGUGUGUCUAUUUAUUCCCUCCCUCGUGCUGACGUGGGAAGUCGGAAGAGCGAGGGAGCCAUGAGUGAGAAGAAAAAGUGAAACCAAGAAGAUGGACCCAGACCCCCCCUGGGGAGCCAGCAUCCUCUGCCUGGGCCGGGACCCAUCCCAGAUCUGGCCCCGAGCAUCCUGGUGGGAAAACGUGAUCGGCUGUGAUUCCUAACGUCCAGAAGACAAAAGACAUGACCAUCCAGCUGUGCAAAAUGUGUGACUAUGCGUGUGGCCGUGUGGGUCCCGGCCCCCCGCUCCCGUCUGAAUCUGGGGUCCCUGAGAUGCAGAUGGCCCAGGGCUGCGUGCAAAUCUAUGCCCGAGGCUCGUGGCUGGUGGCACAGAGGAGCUCAGGACGGAGAGAGGUCCCGGCCCGGCCGAGGGCCCAGCGAUGGCCAGAGGGUGGUGAGGGCAGCAGUGGGUUCACAAGUGAUGGCUCCUCACAGCCCUGGCUGCCUCGUGUGAGGGCAUCUUCUGAAUCGUUUGUUCUUUUGGAGGCCCCACCCCUGCCCAAGCCCUGGUCAUACCAGGCUCUCAGGGGGUUCUGGGUGCCCAGGGGCUCAGGCACGUCGUCUGCCCUCCGGGAGCCCCCUGGCCUGGCCAGGUGGCCAGGACCCUGGGAGGGGUAAGCGUGUUCCUGGAAAAGCCUCUUGUUCUUCUGCGAGACCUUCUGGAACUGGUGGGACACACGAAGCCUCGGGGAAGGCAGAGCUGUGGCACAGCUGCCCCUGUGUGUGUGUCACUCUACAAGCUGUGCGACCUCUGGCAAGUUACCUGAACUCUCUGCGCCACCUUUUAAUGAGGAUGAACAGCCUCCCUGAGUCCAGGACGCCAGUGUCCGAAGAUUUCUGAAGGUUGUUGCAUUGAACCCAGGAAGGCUCCAGAGUGCCGGGGACUCUGGAGCCGUGCUUGAAAAUCUGCUGUCCUCUCAGGCUGCUGCCCUGCUGCUCUGCCCGCCGCUCCUGAGUCCCGUCCAAACUGCCUGGCCUGGCCUUCCAGGCCUCCAAGUGGGGCCUCCGCUUCCCUCUUCAGCUCAUCUCCCGCCCCAGCCCGGCCCUGACCCAGUGCACCGGCCACGGAAGCAUCGCAGCCUCGACUCCACGAACGCCAGGCCUGCGAACCGGGACCAUCACCGCUCCAGGAGGCGCCAAUCAAGGCCACUCGGCCGGACUCCGUGUCUGGACCUGGGCCCUGUCUUCUGCCUCCGAGUUCCCGCGCUUCCCGACCAGCCGCGGUUUCUGCACGCGCGCUUCCUCCGCUGGUACCACCCCCUCCCUUUCUGGAACUCCUUCCAGCUCAUCGUCCCAAACCCUAGCUGUCCUUCAAGGCCUGGCCCAGACGUGGCCUCCUGGACCUCCCCCUCCCCCCUGUAGUGUGUGUUGCCUUUUAUUUGUGACCUUGGGUCGCCGAGUUCCCGGGAGGGAGGGGCGAUGGGGGUCUACCGGCAGAGACGGCUAGUGGUCCCCCAGUACUCACUCUCCUCUUCCGAAAGUAAAAGAAGCUCC
rnacentral:lncRNA from 1 species